rnacentral:rRNA from 1 species
AUACGGAGGGUGCAGGCGUUACUCGGAAUCACUGGGCGUAAAGCGCGCGCAGGCGGGCUGAUAAGUUGGAUGUGAAAGCCUACGGCUCAACCGUAGAACUGCAUCCAAAACUGUCAGUCUAGAGUCUGGGAGGGGAAGAUGGAAUUAGUUGUGUAGGGGUAAAAUCCGUAGAGAUAACUAGGAAUACCAAAAGCGAAGGCGAUCUUCUGGAACAGUACUGACGCUGAGGCGCGAAAGCGUGGGGAGCAAACAGGAUUAGAUACCCUAGUAGUCC